rnacentral:sRNA from 1 species
GUUUGCAUGCACAUGUGUGCAUAUGCAUGUGUGCAUAUGCAUGUGUGAACCAGAGGUCAACUUUAAAUGUCUUUGCGUGGGAGUCAUCUUGUCUUUUUAUUCAGGGUCUCUCUGGGACCUGGGGCUCCCCAUUUACGAUAGGCUUGCUGGCCAGUGAGCCCUAGGGAUCUGCUUGUUUUUCUCUCCAGAGCAGAGAUUACAAGUGUGCUGCCACGACCUGCUUUUGAUCUGGGUGCUGCCAUUCAAAUCAGGACUUCAUGCACGCAUAGCAAGCACUUCAUAGGGUGUGCUGCCUUCCCAGCUUCUCCUGUAAUGUUAAAAAAAUCUAUGUCACAGAGUUAGGGUUAGGAGCUAGGGUUUAGGGUUAGGAGUAAGGGGUUAGGGUUAGGGUUAUAUAUGCAGAGUCAUAUAUAUCAUAUAUAAUCUCUAUCUGAACAUAGUCGAUAUUUGUUCAUUCAGAAACUACUAUUACACAUUUUCCUUAUAUCGGCACUGAAAUAGACAUAGUCUCUAAGCAGAAUGCUCUUACUCUGAAUGGCCUCUCUUACAUUGUGUAGGAACACCACUGAUAACCUUUUGUUGGGGUAAUAUGGUAGACUCUCCAGCUAGAGCUUCCUCCUAACCCAUCUUGAUUCAGGGAUUCCAUUUGUGUAGGUUUCAGUGAGUAAGCAAUUUCUCCAGGAUAGAAGGCAGAGCAUGUUUCAGCCUCUGCGCUGGAGGUUAAUGUACUAGGGGCAUGGCAGGCACAGUGUCUUUCAGAAGAGCAGGGUGUUGGGAUCUGAUGCAGGAGCACUCAAGUGUAGAAAUGUUGUCCCCUCUGAGGACGGCAAUUGGUUCCUGGAAGUAGGCAGCCUUGAACGAUUUGAAGUGGGGAGUCUGACGUUUAUGUUGUUCCUUUUGUUUUGCUUUUGAUCCCCCCACCCCAUGCAUCUCAGGUUGGCCUCAAACCUCAUAAUGGAGGAUGAUCUUGAAUCUCUGAUCCUUUUGACCUGACUGACCUGUGCUGAGAUAGUGGGUGUGCAGCAUCACACCCUACCCACUUGAUGGGAAUGGAACUGAGAGUGCAGGCUGACCAGGCACUCUACUAGCUGAGCCACAGUCUUUCUGGUGACCUUAGUUAGUAAGGGUCGAAGGGCAAACUACUUAGACAACUGUUAAAUAGUCUGUUUGUUCACACCAUCAGACUUCUCUUUAAAUUUUUAAAAUUGUGUUUAUGCACAUGGGUCAUAUGCCUACACACCGUUGCAUGCAGUGCCCGUGGAAUACCCUGGACCGGAUUACCUACAGUUGUGAGCUGUCAUGUGAGUGCUGGGAAAUGAACAUAGGUCCUCUGGAGGAAGAGCCAAUGAUCUAUCUCAACCAGGGAGCCAUCCCUCUGCCCCCCUCUCCUUACCUUCUUGCAGGACUGUUUUAUACUGUCUUCUCAACACAGUCCCACAGGAUAAGUACAGUAAUUACUGUUUAUAUCACAGAAGAGAAAAUAAUUUCCAAAUCUGCCUUAAGUGAGGCAAAGUCACCUUAGAAGACAUACUUUUCCCCUUUCUUACACUUUUCAUGCAAGACCCAUUUCUGUACGAUGAAUCAUAGUUACAGUAGUUACAGUAAAAAUCGCUGUGCUUUUUCUGAAGACAUCUAAUAAAUAAGGUUAGCGUUUUAGUGUUCAUUGCGGCUUUGGUGCUAGGACAGUUCUUGGAGCCACAUUCAAAGGAAGUGUGAACUGGAGUGAAAUUGCUGUGAAGGAUGCUUCUGAUGAUAACCUCACUUUGAAAUUACUGCUCUGCUGCUCCCAAGGAAAAUUCAGCUGAAUUAGCUAGCCUCUUGAAACAGAAAAAACAAACACAUAAAAAAAAAUUAGAGCAGGAAGCAUUUGCACUGAGGCUCCGGGGUCUUGAGGCUGCGGUGGGUCUCAAGUGUUUUAGUGUUUAUUUGACAUGAAGGUUACAGCCCCAGA